rnacentral:rRNA from 1 species
GAUUCGGGAGAGGGAUGUGGAAUUCCAGGUGUAGCGGUGAAAUGCGUAGAUAUCUGGAGGAACACCGGUGGCGAAGGCGGCAUCCUGGACCGAUAUUGACGCUGAUGCGCGAAAGCCAGGGGAGCAAACGGGAUUAGAUACCCCGGUAGUCCUGGCCCUAAACGAUGAAUGCUUGGUGUGGCGGGUAUCGAUCCCUGCCGUGCCGAAGCUAACGCAUUAAGCAUUCCGCCUGGGGAGUACGGUCGCAAGGCUGAAACUCAAAUGAAUUGACGG